GACGAACGCUGGCGGCGUGCUUAACACAUGCAAGUCGAACGGAAAGGCCCUGCUUUUGUGGGGUGCUCGAGUGGCGAACGGGUGAGUAACACGUGAGUAACCUGCCCUUGACUUUGGGAUAACUUCAGGAAACUGGGGCUAAUAACGGAUAGGAGCUCCUGCUGCAUGGUGGGGGUUGGAAAGUUUCGGCGGUUGGGGAUGGACUCGCGGCUUAUCAGCUUGUUGGUGGGGUAGUGGCUUACCAAGGCUUUGACGGGUAGCCGGCCUGAGAGGGUGACCGGCCACAUUGGGACUGAGGUACGGCCCAGACUCCUACGGGAGGCAGCAGUGGGGAAUAUUGCACAAUGGGCGGAAGCCUGAUGCAGCAACGCCGCGUGCGGGAUGACGGCCUUCGGGUUGUAAACCGCUUUCGCCUGUGACGAAGCGUGAGUGACGGUAAUGGGUAAAGAAGCACCGGCUAACUACGUG
rnacentral:rRNA from 1 species